rnacentral:rRNA from 1 species
UCAGUAACACGUAGUCAACCCUGCCCUGGAGACGCGGACAAACCCGGGAAACUGGGGCCUAUCCGCGAUAGAUGAGUUCAUCUGGAAGGAGAGCUCGUCCAAAAGGACGCACGGGUAUGCUCUGUGCGGACCGCUCCAGGAUGGGACUGCGGCCGAUCAGGCUGUUGGCGGGGUAAUGGCCCACCAAACCUGUAACCGGUACGGGCUUUGAGAGAAGGAGCCCGGAGAUGGACACUGAGACAAGGGUCCAGGCCCUACGGGGCGCAUCAGGCGCGAAACCUUAGCAAUGUGCGAAAGCACGACUGGGUCAGUCCGAGUGAUUUCUGAUAAAGGAAUCUUUUGCCCGUUGUAAACGCACGGGUGAAUAAGGGGUGGGCAAGUCCUGGUGCCA